rnacentral:rRNA from 1 species
UACGGAGGGUGCAAGCGUUAUCCGGAUUUAUUGGGUUUAAAGGGUCCGUAGGCGGAUCUGUAAGUCAGUGGUGAAAUCUCAUAGCUUAACUAUGAAACUGCCAUUGAUACUGCAGGUCUUGAGUAAAUUUGAAGUGGCUGGAAUAAGUAGUGUAGCGGUGAAAUGCAUAGAUAUUACUUAGAACACCAAUUGCGAAGGCAGGUCACUAAGAUUUAACUGACGCUGAUGGACGAAAGCGUGGGGAGCGAACAGG